rnacentral:rRNA from 1 species
AUUGAACGCUGGCGGCAUGCCUUACACAUGCAAGUCGAACGGCAGCGGGGACUUCGGUCCGCCGGCGAGUGGCGAACGGGUGAGUAAUGUAUCGGAACGUACCAUUGAGUGGGGGGAUAACGUAGCGAAAGUUACGCUAAUACCGCAUAUUCUCUCCGGAGGAAAGCCGGGGACCGCAAGGCCUUGCGCUCCUUGAGCGGCCGAUAUCAGAUUAGCUAGUUGGUGAGGGAAAGGCUCACCAAGGCGACGAUCUGUAGCGGGUCUGAGAGGAUGAUCCGCCACACUGGAACUGAGACACGGUCCAGACUCCUACGGGAGGCAGCAGUGGGGAAUUUUGGACAAUGGGGGCAACCCUGAUCCAGCCAUGCCGCGUGAGUGAAGAAGGCCUUCGGGUUGUAAAGCUCUUUCGGCCGGGAAAAAAUCGCAUGGGCUAAUACCCCGUGUGGAUGAUGGUACCGGAAUAAGAAGCACCGGCUAACUACGUGCCAGCAGCCGCAGUAA